rnacentral:rRNA from 1 species
ACUUUGAAAAAAUUAGAGUGUUCAAAGCAGGCUUACGCCCGAAUACAUUAGCAUGGAAUAAUAAAAUAGGACGUGCGGUUCUAUUUUGUUGGUUUCUAGGAUCGCCGUAAUGAUUAAUAGGGAUAGUUGGGGGCAUUCGUAUUCAAUUGCUAGAGGUGAAAUUCUYGGAUUUAUUGAAGACGAWCUACUGCGAAAGCAUUUGCCAAGGAUGUUUUCAUUGAUCAAGAACGAAGGUUAGGGGAUCGAAAACGAUCAGAUACCGUUGUAGUCUUAMCAGUAAACGAUGCCGACUAGGGAUCGGACGAGGAUUUUUAAUGACUCGUUCGSCACCUGAAGAGAAAUCUUUAAGUCUAGGUUCGGGGGGGAGUAUGGUCSCAAGGCUGAAACUUAAAGGAAUUGACGGAAGGGCACCACCAGGUGUGGAGCCUGCGGCUUAAUUUGACUCAACACGGGGAAACUCACCAGGUCCAGACACGACAAGGAUUGACAGAUUGAUAGCUCUUUCUUGAUUUCGUGGUUGGUGGUGCAUGGCCGUUCUUAGUUGGUGGAGUGAUUUGUCUGGUUAAUUCCGAUAACGAACGAGACCUUAACCUGCUAAAUAGCCCGGCCGGCUUUGGCUGGUCGCUGGCUUCUUAGAG